UCUGGAAUUUGACUGUGGUCAUGACUGCCGGUGUGGCGGUAAUACGGUCACUGUAUUAGCCCUAGCCAUGUCUGCUGUGUGUUGCUAUACUAGCUAGCAUAAUGGAGGUGAAUGGAUGACUGGUAGUGAAGGCUAUCGUUGGAUAAAGAUUUUAAACCUGAUGUCGACACUUACCCAGAGGCAAACACAUGGACACCACAUUCAUGAAAUUUAAGAGGAAGGCCUGACAGGCUUGCCAAUAAAGCAGUUCCUUUUCUCUCUGCUCUGCGGUCUGGUCCCAAGCCCAGAGGAAGUGAGAUAACACCCCC